GACGAACGCUGGCGGCGUGCUUAACACAUGCAAGUCGAACGCGCCUGUCCUCUGGGUUUCUGGGGGGUGGGUGAGUGGCGAACGGGUGAGUAACACGUGAGUAACCUGCCCCCUUCUUCGGGAUAACGGUCUGAAAGGGCUGCUAAUACCGGGUAUUCACUGGUCUCCGCAUGGGGUCUGGGGGAAAGGUUGUUGUCUGUGGGGGGAUGGGCUCGCGGCCUAUCAGCUUGUUGGUGGGGUGAUGGCCCACCAAGGCUUUGACGGGUAGCCGGCCUGAGAGGGUGACCGGUCACAUUGGGACGGAGAUACGGCCCAGACUCCUACGGGAGGCAGCAGUGGGGAAUAUUGCACAAUGGGCGCAAGCCUGAUGCAGCGACGCCGCGUGAGGGAUGGAGGCCUUCGGGUUGUGAACCUCUUUCGCCCGUGGUCAAGCCGCGACGUGGGUCGUGGUGAGGGUAGUGGGUAAAGAAGCGCCGGCUAACUACGUG
rnacentral:rRNA from 1 species